rnacentral:rRNA from 1 species
GAUGAACGCUGGCGGCGUGCCUAAUACAUGCAAGUCGAGCGAACAGACGAGGAGCUUGCUCCUCUGACGUUAGCGGCGGACGGGUGAGUAACACGUGGAUAACCUACCUAUAAGACUGGGAUAACUUCGGGAAACCGGAGCUAAUACCGGAUAAUAUAUUGAACCGCAUGGUUCAAUAGUGAAAGACGGUUUUGCUGUCACUUAUAGAUGGAUCCGCGCCGCAUUAGCUAGUUGGUAAGGUAACGGCUUACCAAGGCAACGAUGCGUAGCCGACCUGAGGGGGUGAUCGGCCACACUGGAACUGAGACACGGUCCAGACGCCUACGGGAGGCAGCAGUAGGGAAUCUUCCGCAAUGGGCGAAAGCCUGACGGAGCAACGCCGCGUGAGUGAUGAAGGUCUUCGGAUCGUAAAACUCUGUUAUUAGGGAAGAACAAAUGUGUAAGUAACUAUGCACGUCUUGACGGUACCUAAUCAGAAAGCCACGGCUAACUACGUG